rnacentral:rRNA from 1 species
CCUACGGGGGGCAGCAGUAGGGAAUAUUGCUCAAUGGGGGAACCCCUGAAGCAGCAACGCCGCGUGGAGGAUGAAGGUUUUCGGAUUGUAAACCCCUUUUUUUAGAGAAGAUAAUGACGGUAUCUAACGAAUAACCACCGGCUAACUCCGUGCCAGCAGCCGCGGUCAUACGGGGGGGGCAAGCGUUACUCGGAAUCAUUGGGCGUAAAGAGGGCGUAGGCGGGAUAGCAAGUCAGAUGUGAAAUCCGAUGGCUUAACCAUAGAACUGCAGUUGAAACUGUUAUUCUAGAGUAGGGGAGAGGUAGGCGGAAUGCUUGGUGUAGGGGUAAAAUCCGUAGAGAUCAAGAGGAAUACUCAUUGCGAAGGCGGCCUGCUAGAACAUAACUGACGCUGAUGCACGAAAGCGUGGGGAGCAAACAGGAUUAGAUACCCGGGUAGUC